rnacentral:rRNA from 1 species
ACUCCUACGGGAGGCAGCAGUGGGGAAUAUUGCACAAUGGGCGCAAGCCUGAUGCAGCCAUGCCGCGUGUAUGAAGAAGGCCUUCGGGUUGUAAGUACUUUCUAGCAGUGAGGAAGGUGGGUAGUGUUAAUAGCAUAUUCAUUUUGACGUUUAGCUGCAGAAGAAGCACCGGCUAACUCCGUGCCAGCAGCCGCGGUAAUACGGAGGGUGCGAGCGUUAAUCGGAAUUACUGGGCGUAAAGCGCAUGCAGGUGGUUGUUAAGUCAGAUGUGAAAGCCCGGGGCUCAACCUCGGAAUUGCAUUUGAAACUGGCAGGCUAGAGUCUGUAGAGGGGGUAGAAUUUCAGGUGUAGCGGUG